rnacentral:rRNA from 1 species
GAUGAACGCUGGCGGCGUGCUUAAUACAUGCAAGUCGAGCGGACAGACGAGGAGCUUGCUCCUUUGACGUUUGCGGCGGACGGGUGUGUAACAUGUGGAUAACCUACUUAUAAGACUGGGAUAACUUCGGGAAACCGGCGCUUAUACCGGAGAAUAUAUUGAACCACAUGGGUCAUUAGUGAAAGACGGUUUUGCUGUCUCUUAUAGAUGCAUCCGCGCCGCAUUGGCUGGUUGGUAAGGUAACGGCCUACCAAGGCAACCAUGCGUAGGCGAGCUGAGAGGGUGAUCGGCCACACGAGAGCGGAGACGCGGACCAGACGACUACGGGACGCAGCAGUGGGGAAUCUUGCGCAAUGGGGGAAAACCUGACACAGCGACGCCGCGUGUGUUGUGAAAGUCUUCGGAUCGUAAAGACCGGUUAUUAGGGAAGAACAGAUGUGUAAGGAACCGUGCAGGUAUUGACGGUACCUAAUAAAAAAGCCCCGGCUAACUACGUG